AGUGAACGCUGGCGGUAGGCCUAACACAUGCAAGUCGAACGGCAGCACAGUAAGAGCUUGCUCUUACGGGUGGCGAGUGGCGGACGGGUGAGGAAUACAUCGGAAUCUACUUUUUCGUGGGGAUAACGUAGGGAAACUUACGCUAAUACCGCAUACGACCUACGGGUGAAAGCAGGGGAUCUUCGGACCUUGCGCGAUUGAAUGAGCCGAUGUCGGAUUAGCUAGUUGGCGGGGUAAAGGCCCACCAAGGCGACGAUCCGUAGCUGGUCUGAGAGGAUGAUCAGCCACACUGGAACUGAGACACGGUCCAGACUCCUACGGGAGGCAGCAGUGGGGAAUAUUGGACAAUGGGCGCAAGCCUGAUCCAGCCAUACCGCGUGGGUGAAGAAGGCCUUCGGGUUGUAAAGCCCUUUUGUUGGGAAAGAAAAGCAGCAGGUUAAUACCCCGCUGUUUUGACGGUACCCAAAGAAUAAGCACCGGCUAACUUCGUG
rnacentral:rRNA from 1 species